rnacentral:rRNA from 1 species
UUGCCCAGUAACGGCGAGUGAAGCGGCAAAAGCUCAAAUUUGAAAUCCUGCGGGAAUUGUAAUUUGAAGGUUUCGUGGUCUGAGUCGGCCGCGCCCAAGUCCAUUGGAACAUGGCGCCUGGGAGGGUGAGAGCCCCGUAUGGCGCACGCCGACUCUUUGCACCGCGGCUCCGACGAGUCGAGUUGUUUGGGAAUGCAGCUCUAAGUGGGUGGUAAAUUCCAUCUAAAGCUAAAUAUUGGCGAGAGACCGAUAGCGAACAAGUACAGUGAUGGAAAGAUGAAAAGCACUUUGAAAAGAGAGUGAAACAGCACGUGAAAUUGUUGAAAGGGAAGGGCUUGCAAGCAGACACGGUUUUACCGGGCCAGCGUCAAAUAAGGGGGAGGAAAAAGGGGGAAAGAAUGUGGCGCGUGCCUUCGGGUUCGCGUGUUAUAGCUUUCGCUAAUACCCCCAUGUUUGUUUGAGGCCUGCGAUUCUAGGACGCUGGCGUAAUGGUUGCAAGCCGCCCGUCUUGAAACACGGACCAAA